AGCACACCGCAAUGGCAUCCAAAGCAUGCCUGACAGUCGCCAUCCUCCUCUUUGUCGCAGGCGAGCUCAUCCCUCCGACAUCCGCCUGCCGACACGUCCCAUCGGCUCUUUCAACCGCACAUACCGCGACGGGACGAAAAGCAUGCAUGCUGAAGGGUAAAGAAGAAGAGAAGGUGCUGCUGAAACUGCCUCCUUUCUUCAACCCACCUCGCAUUCCGCCUUCCACUUCAGUAGCGUCGGCACCACCCUGAGCGGAGUAAAUUCCGGCAAUCGAAUCAUUCGUUACUUUAGACAAGAAUGGAUUAAGAUGUGCACGGUGCUAUACGGUGCAUUAUAACGAUAAUAAUAAGGAUUCUAUUUGAAUGCAUGAAUAUUAAUUAUGUUAACUAGUCCUGUACCUGCGCAUUGCACAUGAUUAUUAUAAAAUAUUUAUUAUAAGAAAUGUGGUUAUUUA